GCCUUUUGGACCAAAAGAGGUUUUCUCACCACACAAGGUUCUUCCAUUAUCAAUGCCUCUCUAAUAAAGGCCCUCCUUAAGGCUGCUCUCUUGCCAGCCAAGGCUGGAGUCAUUCACUGUAAAGGACACCAGAAACCAACUGAUCUUAUUGCUAAAGAAAAUGCUUACGCCAACAAAACAGCCAAGGAAAUAACCAAUGCCUCCACACCCGCUAAUAUUCCAGCCCCCACUCCAGAAGGCCAGUAUUUUUCUUUCUCCUUUAUCACUCUCACCUACUCUUCUUCUAAAAACCUGUUCUACCAGUCUUUUCCAACUCAGGGCAAGUGGUUCUUAGAUCAUGGAAAAUUCAUUCUUCCAUAGCUUAAUCCAGGAGACAAAGAUUAUUUUACUUAUCAUCUCUCCUGCAUAGGCUCUGCAAUAAAAGCUAUUGAACUUCUCCAUUCAGACCGCUGCUCAUACCUAUGGGAAAAGGGUAAUAUAAUAGAUCAUUGGCUUAACAACAGGGAAUCCCACUCAUAUGACAGAAAAUGGGGACAAAAAGCUUUGGUACAUAAAACAUUAUUCUUUCCCUGGCCUAAAAACUCAUCACCACCUACAUUAAAGCUAAUAUGCCUGAUAACUAUUUUUAGAGAACUUAUUUUAUUAGGGCAACUCCAAGCUCAAAAAUGUGCUAACUGGCACCUUGUAGCUACAUAGAAAUGCACCCUAGACCCGAAACUUAUUGGACUAACUCAUUAUAAAAUUUUCUUUAAGGUGUCCACACAGUCCCUGGUCAUGCUUGAAGCAGUCCUGAGAAACAUCACCCCUACCCCAAUAAUCCCCAGAAAAAAAAUGAUAUUUUCUUUAUCUUUUCUUAUAACUUUAUAUUUUAUACAUAAAAAGACAGGAAUGUCAGGCCUCUGAGCCGAAGCUCAGCCAUUGUAACCCCUGUGACCUGCACAUAUAUGUCCAGAUGGCCUGCAGGAGCUAAGUCUGGAGUAGCUGAAAAACCACAAAAGAAGUGAAACAGCCAGCUCCUGCCUUAACAGAUUGACCAAACUUAAGACAUUCCACCAUUAUGACUUGUUCUGGCCCUGCCCCAAUUGAUCAAUUGACCUUGUGACAUUCUUCUGGAUGAUGAAUCUUAUGAUCUUCCGACCAGGCACCUUGUAACCCCCUCCUCUGCUAACGAUAGAAAACUACCUUUAACUGUAACUUUCCACUGCCUACCCAAGUCCUAUAAAGCUGCCUCUCUCCCACCUCCCUUCGCUGACUCUCUUUUCAGACUCAGCCCACUUGCACCCAAGUGAAUAGACAGACUUGCUGCUCAUACAAAGCCUGUUUAGGUGGUCUUCUCUACGGACACAUGUGACAGUUCAGAAAGACACUGGAAGGGCUCACUGAGCCUUCUUGGCAGCUCCCUGGGGACCUGCCUGGAGCCUGGAAAGCUAAAAACAACAUUUCCCAGAAACCUGCGGAGCCAGCUUUUGCAAGGCACUUGGGGAUUGUGAAGAAGAUGCACCUGGAGAUCAUUAUGGAGUGGUCUUAUCUCUGCCAAAAGACACCAGGGAUUUCUGGAAGCACCACAAGCUAAGACAAAGACACGGAACGGAUUCUUUCCUGGAACUUUCAGAGAGAGUACAACACCUUGAUUUCAGACUUCUACCCUCCAGAACCAAGAGACAAUACCUUUCUGUUUUUUAGGCUAUCCCGUUUGUGGUAUUUUCUUACUGUAGUCCUGGAAAACUAAUAAAGAUGCCAACUUUAAAAUGUA